rnacentral:rRNA from 1 species
CAGCCGCUGCGGGAAUACAGAGGGUGCGAGCGUUAAUCGGAUUUACUGGGCGUAAAGCGUGCGUAGGCGGCUUCUUAAGUCGGAUGUGAAAUCCCUGAGCUUAACUUAGGAAUUGCAUUCGAUACUGGGAAGCUAGAGUAUGGGAGAGGAUGGUAGAAUUCCAGGUGUAGCGGUGAAAUGCGUAGAGAUCUGGAGGAAUACCGAUGGCGAAGGCAGCCAUCUGGCCUAAUACUGACGCUGAGGUACGAAAGCAUGGGGAGCAAACAGGAUUAGAUACCCCCGUAGUCCCUGUCUCUUAUAC